rnacentral:sRNA from 1 species
AUUAGUUAAAAUGCAGAUGGUGCAGUAUUCUAGUCAGCAUACUAUCUUUGAAGGCGGGGCUAAAAAUCCGUCAACGGGCACAUCGAUGAAGUUCUUUGUAAUGGCUGCUGACGCCCAGUCGGGGGCUGUUGCAGGGAGAUAAGGGUUUGGGGCGAUCCACAAUGGCAUGUGGGCGUUGACCCCUUUCCCGCGGAGGCCUGGUCGAGUUAUAUAAUACAUAGCAAGGCUAGGUUCACCUGCUUUGAUCGUAAGGUUGAGCAGUGUAGCCUGCUUUGAAGUGGUACUGGAGACAGUAGCAAAACAUAGAUGCUUGGAUCCAGCUCUAUGUUGAACCUGCUGGAAACUUGUACUGCAAAAGAAGCUAGAAGAUAGUUUAAAUGCUGUAAAGGAAAACUUCUAGACUGUCCAUAAGGGGAUAUAAUAGGGAUUAAAGUGUGUUCUUAGUGGCAAUCCAGCUCUGUAGAGGGAGACCCUGCGGCGGGAAUUUAAAGAGAAAUCUCCCAGAUGGUGACAGAUGGGAAUUCCUGGGGAAAACCUGCUGGACCUAUGACACAGCAUUUAUCUAUUAUAUUACCAUCUGUUAUUUUUAAAAU